rnacentral:rRNA from 1 species
UACAGGGGGGGCAAGCGUUGUUCGGAAUUACUGGGCGUAAAGGGCUCGUAGGCGGCCGAUUAAGUCCGCUGUGAAAGUCCAGGGCUCAACCCUGGAAAGCCGGUGGAAACUGUCAAGCUUGAGUCCGGAAGAGGCGAGUGGAAUUCCUGGUGUAGCGGUGAAAUGCGCAGAUAUCAGGAGGAACACCAAUGGCGAAGGCAGCUCGCUGGGACGGUACUGACGCUGAGACGCGAAAGCGUGGGGAGCAAACAGG